UACAGAGGGUGCGAGCGUUGUCCGGAAUCACUGGGCGUAAAGGGCGCGUAGGCGGCUUGAUAAGCGUGCGGUGAAAGCCCGGGGCUCAACCCUGCGUCGGCCAUGAAUACUGCCGCGGCUGGAGCACUGUAGAGGCAGGCGGAAUUCCGGGUGUAGCGGUGGAAUGCGUAGAGAUCCGGAAGAACACCAGUGGCGAAGGCGGCUCACUGGUCCGGUACUGACGCUGAGGUGCGAAAGCGUGGGGAGCAAACAGG
rnacentral:rRNA from 1 species